rnacentral:rRNA from 1 species
AUUGAACGCUGGCGGCAGGCCUAACACAUGCAAGUCGAACGAGUGGCGGACGGGUGAGUAAUGUCUGGGAAACUGCCUGAUGGAGGGGGAUCACUACUGGAAACGGUAGCUAAUACCGCAUACAAUCAGAUGUGCCCAGAUGGGAUUAGCUAGUAGGUGGGGGAAUGGAUCACCUAGGCGACGAUCGCUAGCUGGUCUGAGAGGAUGACCAGCAAUACUGGAACUGAGACACGGUCCAGACUCCUACGGGAGGCAGCAGUGGGGAAUAGUGCACAAUGGGCGCAAGCCGGAUGCAGCCAUGCCGCGUGUGUGAUGAAGGCCUUCGGGUUGUAAAGCACUUUCGGCGAGGAGGCGUUACUCGCAGAAUAAGCACCGGCUAACGACGUGCCAGCAGCCGCGGUAAUUC